GUCAUUCAUAUCAAGUGAUAGUUGUGACUUUGUUGAUUUUUUUGUUCGUUUUGUUUUUAUAUACAUUUAAUUUAUACCCCAUAUAUUUGUGCAAUAUUUACCUUUUCAGGUACAUUUAUAUUUAUUUUUAUACUUGUUUUUGAUUUGAAUGGGCAAAUGAAAAAAAGAUAUGAACAGAGUUAAACUUGUUUGGUAGAGCACUGGUUCUGUAAAGCCAUUCAGAUUUCAUUGCAGCAAGUGUUUUAAUCACUGACGAGAAAUAAAUGUAUUUUUCUGGAUAUCACUUAUGGUUAUAAGUAAAGUGAACAUAAAAGAUGCACUGGGUAUUGAUAAUACAUGUACACAUAUGAGUAUGUAAAAUUUAACUCUGCUGCAAUGAAAGCUAAAUGUUUUACACUUUACUUGCUGUCAUUGUAAGAUGUUUGGUACUCUUACAGGGUAAAUUUAGGCAUGUGUAAGAAUAGAUGAACAAGCUGAAAGGUUUGUAGUGAAAAUUACAUUCCAAUGUACAGAUUUGUUUAAUGAAUCCACUUAAAAAAGUAUAGUUUUCCAAAGUAGAGUUCUUUUUGUAAGCAUGCAGACAGAGAAUUCCAACCUUGAACAAAUUUAGUAUCAUUGAAAUCCUUUGCUAUUUCCAUUAUUUUGAUACCCAAAUAAUGCUUUUCAUUCAAAUUAUUUUCAUUAUGUUGAUAUGUCUUUAUUGUUUAUCGAAGGGAAACCAUGCAAGUUUUCUAUUGGGGAACUGUUGACAAGAAUAAUACUGGGCAUUUGAUGGUCUAAGUAGUACAUUUAAGAAGACAUGAAUCAGAACUGUUGGUGUUUAUUUAGUAACCCAUGAAUAGUUGAGCAGUAAUCAUGAAUCAGUGCAUGUACGACUUUAAAAUAUCUAAGUACAUGGCCUGUACCCUGCUCAUUUAGACUUUUUUUGUCAUCUAAUGCAUUGUUGAGUUUGUUUAGGGUGAGUAUAGUUUGGGUUGCUGUGAUGUUUGAUAAUGUUGAUCAUUGGUUGAAAUGUAUAAGAAAUCCUUGUACUGCUUAGUUUUAGUGUUUAUUGCUCACGAGUGGACAGACAGGAAUGUAUGCUAAGAAAGUCCAGGGUUCAAAAUUACUCCGUGUAACAUUUUUUAUAAGGAGGCUAAUUUAGUGGGGAAGUUUGAAGCUGAUGUCAGAGAUUAACAGAUAUCAAAGAGGGGUUUCUUCAGCCACUUGCUCUGAUUCAAUGAACUAAACUUUCUUGGUCACAGUAGGUUCAAGGUUUGAUUAUAAAGUUUCUUGCACAAAAAAAUGGUUGUAAUAGUUGUUGGAUACACUUAUGAGUAUGCAGUUUGGACAAUCAUUCUACUCUGAAAUGAUAUUUUUGUCAUUUGAGGUUAGUUAGUGUUAACUGUGUAUGUUUCUGGACCGAAUACAAUUAAUGCUCUACAAUUUCCGUUAAUUGGCUGUUCAGUGUUGAUAUAUACAAAUCUAGAAACUUUCAAUUUUGCUUGUUUAUUCCAUGCAGUUGUCAAUCAUUUCUCUCAUGCAGAUCAUGGGAAUAUUUAUCAGCAUGUGAGUGAGAACAUGCAUUUUCAUAAACAAAUUUCAUACAUAUCUGUAUUAACAUAAUCCUUUUUACCAAGCAAAAAAGCUAAGUCAGUGUUCAAUAGAAAUUAGCCCACCUGUACUUUUAGUCGUAUAAUUAGUUAUCCACUCAUGUCAUAUAUAAUGUGUAAGCCAAUGGACUUAAUUUGUUACAAACUAAGUAUAUUGGUGUAGAUGUUCAACAUUUGGUGCAUUUUUAAGAAAUCAAUUAUGGUAUGUUAUUUUUAUGAAUCUUUUUUUUUUUAGAUAUCUUGAUAUGUUGAAGUAAAUACAUUAAAUAAACAUUCCUUUUUAUACCUAAUAAAGCCUAAACAUUUUUUUUUUCAUAUGGGUAAAUUGCUUCAAACUGUUUUACAUGAUAUUCGAUAAAUACAUCUAUAUACAAAAGCAUGUUAAAUGAAGAAGUACAGGUAAGAAGGUUUUUUUGGGGUUAAUAUAAGUUAUUAUCGCAUUGCAAAAAAAAUAAAAUACCUACUUGUACAAUAGUGUUAAUUAUUAAAACUACCAAGAAAUUUUGGAGGGUCAAUACAAUUAUGUUUUGAAAUUUGUGUUUAGACAUUUUUCAUCUACUAGUAAAUACAUUUCAGAUCUGAUGUUUUAAAAUGAAUUUUUGGAUAUUUGAAAUAUUUGAAUUCUAUUCAAAAUUCUAUUUAAAGUUAAUGGUAUAGUUGCUUCCCUCAUAUUUUUGUCUUCAAUAAAUUUUAGUCUGUUCUAAUGUAAAAUGAAAAUAAAUAAUUAUAAAAACUUGAACAUGUUGUGAUCUUCAACUAACUCUCUCAUCAUUAUUAAUAUCAAUGUCUGGACAUCUUGUAAAUUUUCUUCUAUGUAUCAAACUAAAACAAUGUUUGCAAAUGAAAUGGAACUCUGUGGAAUAUGCUUUGAUUUGUUAUGCUUAUUGCAGUAAUAAACUACUGAUAAAUUCA